ACGAACGCUGGCGGCGUGCCUAAUACAUGCAAGUCGAACGGUCUUUCUAUGGAAGCUUGCUUCCACUGAGAAGAUAGUGGCGAACGGGUGAGUAACACGUGGGUAACCUGCCCAUAAGAGGGGGAUAACAUCCGGAAACGGGUGCUAAUACCGCAUAGUUUUCUUGAUCGCAUGAUUGAGAAAGGAAAGACGGCCUUUGUGCUGUCGCUUAUGGAUGGACCCGCGGCGUAUUAGUUAGUUGGUGAGGUAAUGGCUCACCAAGACGAUGAUACGUAGCCGACCUGAGAGGGUGAUCGGCCACAUUGGGACUGAGACACGGCCCAAACUCCUACGGGAGGCAGCAGUAGGGAAUCUUCCGCAAUGGACGAAAGUCUGACGGAGCAACGCCGCGUGAGUGAAGAAAGGUUUUCGGAUCGUAAAACUCUGUUGUCAGAGAAGAACAAGUUGGAGAGUAACUGCUCCAGCCUUGACGGUAUCUGACCAGAAAGCCACGGCUAACUACGUGCCAGCCGCAGC
rnacentral:rRNA from 1 species